rnacentral:rRNA from 1 species
CCUACGGGCGGCAGCAGUGGGGAAUAUUGCACAAUGGGGGAAACCCUGAUGCAGCGACGCCGCGUGGGUGAAGAAGUAUUUCGGUAUGUAAAGCUCUAUCAGCAGGGAAGAAAAUGACGGUACCUGAAUAAGAAGCCCCGGCUAACUACGUGCCAGCAGCCGCGGGAAUACGUAGGGGGCAAGCGUUAUCCGGGUUUACUGGGUGUAAAGGGAGCGUAGACGGCAGCACAAGUCUGGAGUGAAAUGCCGGGGCUUAACCCCGGAACUGCUUUGGAAACUGUGCAGCUAGAGUGCAGGAGAGGUAAGUGGAAUUCCUAGUGUAGCGGUGAAAUGCGUAGAUAUUAGGAGGAACACCAGUGGCGAAGGCGGCUUACUGGACUGUAACUGACGUUGAGGCUCGAAAGCGUGGGGAGCAAACAGGAUUAGAUACCCCUGUAGUC